rnacentral:sRNA from 1 species
UCUCGUCCUUGUGAGAGACUUGCUUGA